GAUCAUGGCUCAGGAUUAACGCUGGCGGCGUGCCUAAUACAUGCAAGUCGAAUGGUAGCAAUACCAUGGCGAACGGGUGAGUAACACGUAGGUAACCUGUCUUUAAGACGAGGAUAACCGUUGGAAACGACGGAUAAUACUCGAUAGGUGAUUUGAGGGCAUCCUUGGAUCAUUAAAGAUUUAUCACUUAGAGAGGGGCCUGCGGCGCAUUAGCUAGAUGGCGGUGUAAUGGACCACCAUGGCGAUGAUGCGUAGCCGGACUGAGAGGUUGAACGGCCACAAUGGAACUGAGAACGGUCCAUACUCCUACGGGAGGCAGCAGUAGGGAAUUUUCGGCAAUGGGCGAAAGCCUGAACCCGAGCAACGCCGCGUGAACGAAGAAGUAUUUCGGUAUGUAAAGUUCUUUUAUCGGGGAAGAAAAAUAUUCAAAUUGACGGUACCUGAUGAAUAAGCUCCGGCUAACUACGUGCCAGCAGCGGC
rnacentral:rRNA from 1 species